CAGUCGCCGCGGUAAUACGGAGGGCGCGAGCGUUACCCGGAUUUACUGGGCGUAAAGGGCGUGUAGGCGGCCUGGGGCGUCCCAUGUGAAAGGCCACGGCUCAACCGUGGAGGAGCGUGGGAUACGCUCAGGCUAGAGGGUGGGAGAGGGUGGUGGAAUUCCCGGAGUAGCGGUGAAAUGCGCAGAUACCGGGAGGAACGCCGAUGGCGAAGGCAGCCACCUGGUCCACUUCUGACGCUGAGGCGCGAAAGCGUGGGGAGCAAACCGGAUUAGAGACCCCGGUAGUCCCUGUCUCUUAUAC
rnacentral:rRNA from 1 species